AGGCCAGUAGCUCAGUUGGCAGAGCGAGGGUCUCCAAAACCCUAGGUCGGGGGUUCGAGACCCUCCUGGCCUGCCA
rnacentral:tRNA from 2 species